rnacentral:rRNA from 1 species
UACGUAGGGUGCGAGCGUUGUCCGGAAUCACUGGGCGUAAAGCGUCUGUAGGUGGUUUAAUAAGUCAACUGUUAAAUCUUGAGGCUCAACCUCAAAAUCGCAGUCGAAACUAUUAGGCUAGAGUAUAGUAGGGGUAAAGGGAAUUUCCAGUGGAGCGGUGAAAUGCGUAGAGAUUGGAAAGAACACCGAUGGCGAAGGCACUUUACUGGGCUAUUACUAACACUCAGAGACGAAA